AUCAAUUUUGUGUUUGGAGAACCAUAGAAACUAGUGAAGUGAAGAAGGUUUGUAGUUAGCCUUAUCGCGCUUCGCUCAAGCGAGUUUGUAGCUUACUACUACUGUUGUUGAAGACUUGAUGCAGAGGAGUGAGCUUGGUUUCGCUAGAACCAUAUAUAUACAAUUUUGUUCAUACUCAUCCCAUUGAUGUUAAACCAACUCUACCCUCUAUGCUUACUUCUCCCAUUUCCCUGCGUCCCUUCUUCUUCCUAUGCCCCAAGUCCUAUUCUUUUUCACGUAAUUGCAAAUUCUUACAUCAAAAUUUUCCCAAACCCUUUUCCAAAGAUUACAAGUUACGGUGUCAAAAUUUGAGUUUUGUUGCUUUCAGCAACACAGCAUUGAGCUAUAACUACAGCAGCGACGACGGGGAUGCAAAUGGAAUUGAUUUCCUGCACCUCAUGGAAGAACGCGGGGUUCGUGCGAAUUGCCAGACCUAUUUGUGGCUUUUAGACGGGUGUUUGAGUUCUGGGUCGUUAACUAAUGGUUGGAAGCUUCAUGCCAAGAUUCUGAAGAUGGGAUUUUGUGCAGAAGUGGUUUUGUGUGAACAUCUUAUGGACUUGUACAUUGCCCUUGGUGAUUUGGAUGGCACAAUCAAGACGUUUGAUGAAAUGCCUGUUAGACCCUUGUCUUGUUGGAAUAAGGUUCUGCAUAGCUUUGUUGCUGGGAAGAUGACGGGUCAUGUUCUUGGUUUGUUUAGGCAAAUGGUGAGGGAAAAUGUAAAGCCUGAUGAGAGAACUUAUGCUGGGGUUUUGAGGGCUUGUGGAGGUGGUGAUGUUCCUUUCAACUAUGUGGAACAGAUACAUGCAACGACUAUAUCUCAUGGUUAUGAAAAUAGUUUGUCGGUAUCUAAUCCUCUGAUGGAUUUAUAUUUUAAAAAUGGGUUUUUGAAUUCGGCUAAGAAGGUUUUUGACGGUUUACAGAAGCGGGACAGUGUUUCUUGGGUAGCUGUGAUAUCGGGCUUAUCGCAGAGUGGGUGUGAAGAAGAGGCGAUUCUUCGAUUUUGUCAGAUGCACAAACUGGGAGUCUAUCCUACCCCUUACAUAUUUUCAAGCGUUCUAAGCGCCUGUAAUAAAAUAAAGCUAUUUAAGCUUGGAGAGCAGCUCCAUAGCCUUGUUCUCAAGCAGGGAUUCUCUUCUGAAACCUAUGUUUGCAAUGCCCUUGUGACAUUAUAUUCACGUUUGGGGAACUUCAUAUCUGCUGAGCAGGUUUUUAAUGCAAUGUCGCAGAGGGAUGAAGUUUCAUAUAAUUCACUCAUUUCAGGCUUGGCUCAACAAGGAUAUAGUGACAGAGCUUUAGGUUUGUUUAAAAGAAUGCGUCUUGAUUGCCUAAAGCCUGACUGUGUUACAGUAGCAAGUCUUUUGAGUGCCUGUUCAUCCGUCGGGGAUCUUCUGGUAGGAAAGCAAUUUCACUCGUAUGCUAUAAAGGCUGGAAUGUCUUCAGAUAUUAUCUUGGAAGGCUCACUGCUUGAUCUUUAUGUAAAAUGUUCGGAUGUAAAAACUGCUCACGAAUUUUUCCUUUCAACUGAAACUGAAAACGUUGUGUUGUGGAAUGUGAUGCUCGUAGCUUAUGGCCAGAUAGACAAUCUAAAUGAAUCAUUUAAAAUAUUUACACAGAUGCAGAUGGAAGGUAUUGUACCAAAUGAAUUCACCUAUCCAAGUAUUUUGAGAACUUGUACUUCUUUGAAGGCUCUUGAUUUAGGAGAACAAAUUCAUACUCAAGUCCUGAAAACUGGUUUUCAGUUCAAUGUGUAUGUCUCUAGUGUGCUUAUUGAUAUGUAUGCUAAACUUGGAAAUUUGUAUACAGCGCUGAAAAUUCUUAGAAGAUUAAAAGAAAAAGAUGUUGUUUCCUGGACAGCCAUGAUUGCUGGGUACGCACAGCAUGAAAAGUUUGUUGAGGCUCUUAACCUCUUUAAAGAAAUGCAAGAUGAAGGGAUACAAUCUGAUAAUAUAGGAUUUGCAAGUGCAAUUAGUGCAUGUGCAGGUAUCCUUGCACUUAAUCAAGGACAGCAAAUUCAUGCUCAAGCAUGUGUCUGUGGUUAUUCAGAUGAUUAUUCAGUUGGUAAUGCACUUGUUGGUCUUUAUGCUAGGUGUGGGAAAGUACGACAAGCAUACUUUACUUUCGAUAAAAUAUUUGCUAAAGAUAAUAUAUCAUGGAACUCGUUGAUAUCUGGUUUUGCACAAAGUGGACAUUGUGAGGAUGCAUUGAGUGUAUUUUCUGAAAUGAAUAAAGCUGCACUAGAAAUGAAUUCAUUCACUUUUGGCUCUGCAGUUAGUGCUGCUGCGAAUGUUGCUAACAUUAAAGUAGGGAAGCAGAUUCAUGCCAUGAUUUUAAAAACUGGCUAUGAUUCAGAAACUGAAGUCUCUAAUGUUUUGAUCACUCUAUAUGCAAAAUGUGGUACCAUUGAAGAUGCUAAGAGACAGUUUUUUGAAAUGCCUGAGAAAAAUGAGGUUUCUUGGAAUGCCAUGCUUACUGGUUAUUCUCAGCAUGGUUAUGGAUUUGAAGCCUUAAGCCUUUUUGAGGAAAUGAAGCAGCUUGAUGUAUUGCCAAAUCAUGUCACCUUCGUGGGAGUCUUAUCAGCAUGUAGCCAUGUGGGUUUGGCUGAUGAAGGAAUUAGCUAUUUUCAAUCAAUGAGUGAAGUUCAUGGUUUGGUGCCAAAACCUGAACAUUAUGCAUGUGUUGUUGAUCUUCUUGGGCGGUCUGGUCUUUUAAGCCGUGCAAGGAGAUUUGUUGAGGAGAUGCCAAUUCAACCUGAUGCAAUGGUGUGGAGGACCCUUCUAAGUGCAUGUAUUCUUCAUAAGAAUAUUGAUAUUGGAGAGUUUGCGGCAAGUCAUCUUCUAGAACUGGAACCUGAAGAUUCAGCAACCUAUGUUCUACUUUCAAAUAUGUAUGCAGUGACUGGGAAAUGGGGUUGUAGGGAUCGAACACGGCAAAUGAUGAAAGAUAGAGGUGUGAAAAAAGAGCCUGGUCGUAGCUGGAUAGAGGUUAAUAAUUCAAUUCAUGCAUUUUUUGCUGGUGAUCAGAAGCACCCUCAUGUUGAUAAAAUAUAUGAGUAUCUCAGUGAUUUGAGUGAAAAGACAGCUGAAAAGGGCUACAUUCCACAGACCAAUAGCCUUUUGAAUGAUGUAGAACGAUUGAAGAAGGGCCCAACACAAAUUAUUCACAGUGAGAAACUUGCAAUUGCUUUUGGAUUGCUUAGUUUGUCUAGCUCUAGUCCUAUCCAUGUUUUCAAAAACCUUCGUGUUUGUGGUGAUUGCCAUAAUUGGAUUAAGUAUGUCUCUAAGAUUUCAGAUCGAGUGAUUGUAGUGAGAGAUUCCUACCGCUUUCAUCAUUUUAAGGAUGGUUUUUGUUCGUGUAAAGACUACUGGUAAGAUGGCAGAAGAUUCACUACAUUGCAAGAAUCCACUUAGACUUGCAGGAGGGAACAAAAUUUAUGACAAGUGUUGCAGAUUAUUUUUCAUUGGUCACCUAUGCCAUUGGUGAAAAAUAUCUGCAGUGAGCUUUCACUGCAUGCACUUUUGACCCAUUUAUCAUGCUUGGGGGGUUCCACUCACAAGGCUUGAGCUUUCUCUUCCAUGAUGAAAAGUAAUAUUCAAAAUGGAGGAUCAUAUGACAAGAUUGGAGGUAUUGCAAUUGAUUCUUGUAGGACAAGUUAAAUGAAUAAUCAGCAUUUGAUUUCUAUGAAAACAAUUAACUGAAUAUUUCAUUUUCUCAUAGAAGUGAAAGUGACCUUCAAGAAUACAUUGUGGGUAACCAUUUAAUUUCAGAUUGGUAUCCAGAAGGUGAAGCUAGUGGAAAAACUUGGUCAGAUUUUAGAAAUAAAGAUUCGUUUUUUCCUUUCCUUGGGGUUAUGUGCUUCAUUGAGCCUCAGUCUGUAGUCCAUUGACCAUUUUACUGCCUGUUUACCAACAAUCAACACAAAACGGCAUAAUCUUGCCCUCAUUUUCAUGAAGAUCAAUUCUGUAUGCCAGAAGAUUAGCAGCAAGAAGACAGAGUCAUUGACAGUGUUAACAGAGUCAUUAAUGGAGUUGGAUUUAGAGGGAGUUGUUAAUGAAAAGAACUAAGUGGUUGGGUUUUUAAAUGUUAGAAUAAAAAUGAAGUGAGAGAGGACUACAACAUCAACAAAAGGCCAUCCUACAAAGCCAAGUUGAGAAGAUGGAACAACUGCUAUGACUUGAGGUUGGAUCAGUAUUCUACAGCAAAAUUUUCUGAAAGUUUUGAAAUGAUUCCUAGAUCUUUGGCUGAGAAUGUUGUGCUAAAUGCAAUGGAGAUCACAUAUUCUGUGUAUGCAGAAUAUGCAUCUGAAAAUGCCAAAAUUGGCGAUUCAAGGAGUGGGGAGCAACCUGCAGGCACGGAUGAAGAUUAAGACUAAAACUGAUUGUUUACCUUCGUCAUGUACCAUCAUGGGAUGUUGGAAAGCUCUAAAAUCCCCAUAUUUUAGAUUAUUAGGUUGUGGAAUUCAAAAAUAUAUUCUAGAUUAUAUAAUUAAACAUGUAUUUUCGAAAAUACGUUCUAGAUUGUAUAAUUAAAAAAUGUAUUAUGGAUUAUGUAAUCCGUAAUAUAUUUUCAAAAAAUUUGAAUUAUGUAAUCUGAAAAUAUAAA